AUUGAACGCUGGCGGCAGGCCUAACACAUGCAAGUCGAACGAGUGGCGGACGGGUGAGUAAUGUCUGGGAAACUGCCUGAUGGAGGGGGAUAACUACUGGAAACGGUAGCUAAUACCGCAUACCAUCAGAUGUGCCCAGAUGGGAUUAGCUAGUUGGUGGGGUAACGGCUCACCAAGGCGACGGUCCCUAGCUGGUCUGAGAGGAUGACCGGCGGCCUUGGAACUGGGACACGGUCCAGACUCCUACGGGAGGCAGCAGUGGGGAAUAUUGGACAAUGGGCGCAAGCCUGAUGCAGCCAGGCGGCGUGUAUGAAGAAGGCCUUCGGGUUGUAAAGUACUUUCAGCGGGGAGGCGUUACCCGCAUAAGAAGCACCGGCUAACUCCGUGCCAGCAGCCGCGGUAAUUC
rnacentral:rRNA from 1 species